rnacentral:misc_RNA from 1 species
UCUCCGUAGGUGAACCAGCGGAGGGAUCAUUACAGAGUUCCUGCCCUACCGGAUAGAUCUCCCACCCUCUGCUAAACUUACUUUGUUGCUUCGGCCGGCCGUUCUCCCCCGCCCCGACUCCCGGCCCCGGCCGCUCAGCGCCCGCCAGAGGACCCAAAACCCUGCACUUUAGUGUCUACUGUAUACAGUAUAAACUUUAAAACUUUCAACAACUGAUCUCUUGGUUCUUGCAUCACUCAAGAACUCAGCAGAUCGGACGAGCGCACGCCUGAACUUCCG